ACUGCUCAGUAACACGUGGCUAAUCUGCCCUUGGGACCGGAAUACCCCCGGGAAACUGGGGCUAAUUCUCGAUAGGUGAAGAACUCUGGAAUGAGUCUUUGCCAAAAAGACGUUUACGUUAUGCUCGUAGACGUCGCCCAAGGAUGAGGCCGCGACCGAUCAGGUUGUUGGUGAGGUAAUGGCUCACCAAGCCUUUUACCGGUGCGGGCCGUGAGAGCGGGAGCCCGGAGAUGGGCACUGAGACAAGGGCCCAGGCCCUACGGGGCGCAGCAGUCGCGAAAACUUUGCAAUACACGAAAGUGUGACAGGGCUAUCCCGAGUGCCAUCCGCUGAGGAAGGCUUUUACCCAGUCUAGAACGCUGGGGGAAUAAGGAGAGGGCAAGUCUGGUGUCAGCCGCCGCGGUAAUACCAGCUCUCCGAGUGGUGUGGAUGUUUAUUGGGCCUAAAGCAUCCGUAGCUGGCUAAGUUAGUCCCUUGUUAAAUCCACCGAAUUAAUCGUUGGAUUGCGGGGGAUACUGCUUGGCUAGGGGACGAGAGAGGCAGACGGUAUUUCCGGGGUAGGGGUGAAAUCCUAUAAUCCCGGGAAGACCACCAGUGGCGAAGGCUGUCUGCUAGAACGCGCCCGACGGUGAGGGAUGAAAGCUGGGGGAGCGAACCGGAUUAGAUACCCGGGUAGUCCCAGCUGUAAACGAUGCAGGCUAGGUGUUUGGACGGCCACGUGCCGUUCUAGUGCCGCAGGGAAGCUGUUAAGCCUGCCGCCUGGGGAGUACGAUCGCAAGAUUGAAACUUAAAGGAAUUGGCGGGGGAGCAC
rnacentral:rRNA from 1 species